rnacentral:tRNA from 1 species
GCUUGGGUAGCUCAGUUGGUAGAGCACUUGCCCGCGGAAGGCAAAGGUCCCGAGUUCGAGUCUCGGUCCGGGGCA